AACGAACGCUGGCGGCAUGCCUAACACAUGCAAGUCGAACGAACCCUUCGGGGUUAGUGGCGCACGGGUGCGUAACGCGUGGGAAUCUGCCCUUUGCUUCGGUAUAACAGUUAGAAAUGACUGCUAAUACCGGAUGAUGUCUUCGGACCAAAGAUUUAUCGGCAAGGGAUGAGCCCGCGUAGGAUUAGGUAGUUGGUGGGGUAAAGGCCUACCAAGCCGACGAUCCUUAGCUGGUCUGAGAGGAUGAUCAGCCACACUGGGACUGAGACACGGCCCAGACUCCUACGGGAGGCAGCAGUGGGGAAUAUUGGACAAUGGGCGCAAGCCUGAUCCAGCAAUGCCGCGUGAGUGAUGAAGGCCUUCGGGUCGUAAAGCUCUUUUACCAGGGAUGAUAAUGACAGUACCUGGAGAAUAAGCUCCGGCUAACUCCGUGCCAGCAGCCGCAGUAAAAC
rnacentral:rRNA from 1 species